rnacentral:rRNA from 1 species
UACGUAGGGGGCGAGCGUUGUCCGAAGUUACUGGGCGUAAAGCGCGCGUAGGCGGUCAUUUAAGUCUGGGGUGAAAGGUUCAACGCUCAACGUGAACAGUGCCUUGGAUACUGGGUGACUUGAGUUCGGGAGGGGGCAGUGGAAUUCCAGGUGUAGCGGUGAAAUGCGUAGAUAUCUGGAGGAACACCGAUGGCGAAGGCAGCUGCCUGGCCCAGAACUGACGCUGAGGUGCGAAAGCGUGGGGAGCGAACGGG